AUUGAACGCUGGCGGCAGGCCUAACACAUGCAAGUCGAACGAGUGGCGGACGGGUGAGUAAUGUCUGGGAAACUGCCUGAUGGAGGGGGAUAACUACUGGAAACGGUAGCUAAUACCGCAUACCAUCAGAUGUGCCCAGAUGGGAUUAGCUUGUAGGGGGGGUAACGGCUCACAAACGCGACGAGCCCUAGCUGGUCUGAGAGGAUGACAAGCAACACUGUAUCUGAGACACGGUGCAGACGCCUACGGGAGGCAGCAGUGGGGAAUAUUGCCCAAUGGGCGCAAGCCGUAUGCAGCCAUGCCGCGUGUAUGAAGAAGGCCUUCGGGUUGUAAAGUACUUUCAGCGGGGAGGCGUUACCCGCAGAAGAAGCACCGGCUAACUCCGUGCCAGCAGCCGCGGUAAUAC
rnacentral:rRNA from 1 species